rnacentral:lncRNA from 10 species
AUGAAUUUUCACAGCAGUAGCAUUUAUAAUAUCAGAGAGUUGGAAACAACCCCAAUGUCUAUGAACUAAUGAGUAAACAAACUGUGGUAUAUCCAUACAAUGCAGUAUUAUUCAGCCAUAAAGAGGAAUGAAAAACUGAUACAUGCUACAACAUGGAUGAACUCUGAAAACGUUCAGUGGUAAAAAGCCAGACACAAGAAACCACAUAUUGUAUGACUCCAUUUAUAUGAAGUGUCCAGAAGAGGCAAAUCUAGACAUAUAACGUGGAUUAGUGGUUGCCAGAGGCUGGAGGAAGAGCGAAUAGGCAGUGAUGAUAAGGGGUAUGAGGGAUACUCACACACCUGAGGUCACACCUGCACAUACAGGUGGCAUCAACACAUGCAGGACUGUCGCGGUUGCUUCUGGACCGAACGAAGGACGACGAAUGCAGAAAUGAGACAGACAAAAGGAUCUGUUUGAAAGAAGGGGUCAGGGGGCUCCUUGAUAUUAGGGAACAGGGACCUGAGCUUUUACAGCCCUUCAUAUUUAUUAGGUAGAGUGAAUAGGGAGGAAGGGAUAACUGUCGGUCAGCUAUUUGAUUUAACACAGGCCCACAUGAUUCCUUUCUUUGUUCAACAGGUUCUGGAUGUUCCUGUGGAUAACCUCAAGGAGCACGGGACCUGGGACAUGACUGCCCCCAGCAUUCCUUCUGGCGGCAGACAGAGUUUGUCAGUUCGCCAACAUCCUGCUUUCAUGAGAACAGUUUGCUGUUUGCUCACAGAGCCUCCAGUGGUAUACUGAGUUGGUCACGACCCUCAUUCCUUCGGCCUCCAACAUCUCCCCUUUUGUUUUUGCAUUAAUUGAAUAAAGGUAAUUUCAGGCUGUGCA